CUCAAAGGAAUGGACGGGGGCCCGCACAAGCGGUGGAGUAUGUGGUUUAAUUCGACGCAACGCGAAGAACCUUACCAGGUCUCGACACUGAUGGACAGAACCAGAGAUGGUUCCUCUUCUUCGGAAGCCAGAAAACAGGUGGUGCACGGUUGUCGUCAGCUCGUGUCGUGAGAUGUUGGGUUAAGUCCCGCAACGAGCGCAACCCCUUUCUUAUGUUGCCAGCACUUUGGGUGGGAACUCAUGAGAGACUGCCGCAGACAAUGCGGAGGAAGGCGGGGAUGACGUCAAAUCAUCAUGCCCCUUAUGACCUGGGCUACACACGUACUACAAUGGGAGUUAAUAGACGGAAGCAAUACCGCGAGGUGGAGCAAACCCGAGAAACACUCUCUCAGUUCGGAUCGUAGGCUGCAACUCGCCUACGUGAAGUCGGAAUCGCUAGUAAUCGCAGGUCAGCAUACUGCGGUGAAUACGUUCCCGGGCCUUGUACACACCGCCCGUCAUUCACCGCCCGUGCACUCACCGCCCGUCAAGGGCGAAUUCCAG
rnacentral:rRNA from 1 species